CAGCAGCCGCGGUAAUACGGAAGGUCCGGGUGUUAUCCGGAUUUAUUGGGUUUAAAGGGAGCGUAGGCCGCAGGUUAAGUGUGUUGUGAAAAGCAGUCGCCCAACGUCUGCCUUGCGGCGCAUACUGUCCUGCUUGAGUGCGCACAACGCAGGCGGAAUUCGUCGUGUAGCGGUGAAAUGCUUAGAUAUGACGAAGAACUCCGAUUGCGAAGGCAGCUUGCGGGAGCGCAACUGACGCUGAAGCUCGAAAGUGCGGGUAUCGAACAGGAUUAGAUACCCUGGUAGUCCGCACGGUAAACGCUGGAUGCCCGUUUUUGGCUUAUUUUAAGUCAGAGACCAAGCGAAAGCAUUAAGCAUCCCACCUGGGGAGUACGCCGGCAACGGUGAAACUCAAAGGAAUUGACGGGGGCCCGCACAAGCGGAGGAACAUGUGGUUUAAUUCGAUGAUACGCGAGGAACCUUACCCGGGCUUGAAUUGCCAGAGACGGCUUCAGAGAUGGAGCUUCCCUUCGGGGCUUUGGUGAAGGUGCUGCAUGGUUGUCGUCAGCUCGUGCCGUGAGGUGUCGGCUUAAGUGCCAUAACGAGCGCAACCCCUUUCUUCAGUUGCCAUCGGGUAAUGCCGGGCACUCUGUAGAUACUGCCGCCGUAAGGUGUGAGGAAGGUGGGGAUGACGUCAAAUCAGCACGGCCCUUACGUCCGGGGCUACACACGUGUUACAAUGGGGGGCACAGCGAGCGGGAUGCCCGCAAGGUCAUUCAAAUCAAUAAAUCCCCCCUCAGUUCGGACUGGGGUCUGCAACCCGACCCCACGAAGCUGGAUUCGCUAGUAAUCGCGCAUCAGCCAUGGCGCGGUGAAUACGUUCCCGGGCCUUGUACACACCGCCCGUCAAGCCAUGAAAGCCGGGGGUGCCUGAAGUCCGUGACCGCAAGGAUCGGCCUAGGGCAAAACUGGUAAUUGGGGCUAAGUCGUAACAAGGUAGCCGU
rnacentral:rRNA from 1 species